rnacentral:rRNA from 1 species
UNACGGCAUGCCUUACACAUGCAAGUCGAACGGUAACGCGGGGCAACCUGGCGACGAGUGGCGAACGGGUGAGUAAUGCAUCGGAACGUGCCCAGUAGUGGGGGAUAGCCCGGCGAAAGCCGGAUUAAUACCGCAUACGACCUACGGGUGAAAGCGGGGGAUCGCAGGACCUCGCNCUAUUGGAGCGGGCGAUGUCAGAUUAGGUUGUUGGUGGGGUAAAGGCCUACCAAGCCUGCGAUCUGUAGCUGGUCUGAGAGGACGACCAGCCACACUGGGACUGAGACACGGCCCAGACUCCUACGGGAGGCAGCAGUAGGGAAUUUUGGACAAUGGGAGCAAGCCUGAUCCAGCCAUGCCGCGUGCGGGAAGAAGGCCUUCGGGUUGUAAACCGC